rnacentral:rRNA from 1 species
CUACGGGGCUCCAGUGAGGAAUAUUGCACAAUGGGGGGAACCCUGAUGCAGCAACGCCGCGUGGAGGAUGACGCAUUUCGGUAUGUAAACUCCUUUUAUAUGUCAAGAAAAUGACGGUAGCAUAUGAAUAAGCGCCGGCUAACUCCGUGCCAGCAGCCGCGGUAAUACGGAGGGCGCAAGCGUUACUCGGAAUCACUGGGCGUAAAGGACGCGUAGGCGGGUUGAAAAGUCAGGUGUGAAAGCCUACAGCUUAACUGUAGAACUGCACUUGAAACUCUCAAUCUAGAGUAUGGGAGGGGCAGAUGGAAUUAGUGGUGUAGGGGUAAAAUCCGUAGAUAUCACUAGGAAUACCUAAAGCGAAGGCGAUCUGCUGGAACAUUACUGACGCUAAGGCGUGAAAGCGUGGGGAGCAAACAGGAUUAGAUACCCUAGUAGUC